rnacentral:tRNA from 1 species
UUAUAGAGAACAAGAAUUUGUGUAUGGUUUUGGCCCAUAAUUUAUAGGUAGAUAGUCCUUUUUUAUAAA